GACGAACGCUGGCGGCGUGCCUAAUACAUGCAAGUCGAGCGGAGUAAAAGCGUGCUUGCACGGUUUUUAUUUAGCGGCGAACGGGUGAGUAACACGUAGGUAACCUGGCCAUAAGACAGGGAUAACGCACGGAAACGUGAGCUAAAACCAGAUAGGCAUUUUCCAACGCAUAGAGGGAGAUGAGAAAAGGCGGAGCAAUCUGCCGCUUAUGGAUGGACCUGCGUCGCAUUAGCUAGUUGGAGUGGUAAAGGCACACCAAGGCGACGAUGCGUAGCCGACCUGAGAGGGGUAGAGCGGGCCAACACUGGGACUGAGACACGGCCCAGACUCCUACGGGAGGCAGCAGUAGGGAAUCUUCCGCAAAUGGACGAAAGUCUGACGGAGCAACGCCGCGUGAGUGAAGAAGGUUUU
rnacentral:rRNA from 1 species